GAACCGUUUGGCAUGGCGUGAUCCUCUCCUCCUUCUCUACCUAGUCAUCUUGUUUUGAUCGGUGGAGGAAGAUUUGAAGGUGUUUGAGGGUGUGAACAGUAACGUGAACAGUAACUGUCGAGUUCUUGGUUUUUGUUUGAUCUUUCCGGCCAUUUCUGCUUGAAUUUGGUUGUUGUUGCAGGUAUGGACGUACUGAGCCCUCAAGCGAGGAGGACACGGGCAGACAGCAGGAUUAGCUGCGAGAUUCACCCAUUUCAGAUUUGCCGAGAUCACGUCCAGGAACUUGAGGCAUAGGAAUCAGUGCUUCCGUUUUGUCCUUCUGAGAUGGAUUUGGGCCUGGCCGUGAGCUUUGUUUGAUGAAUGAGGAAUCCCCAUUUCAUACUUGAUUAGUGAGCCUGAAGAGAGAAUUUAUGCGAGAAACCUUGCCUGGUGGGACUCUUGGAAACAGCAACGAUGAAAUCAGAAAAUAAAGCAUUUAAGACGUUUGACCAAGCAAUGAAGAAAAGAAAUAAAGGAGAGAGACGUUUCAGUAGGGAAAUAAAGGAGAAAGACGUUUCAGUUGGGAAAUAAAUAAGCGAAACGUUUCAAUUGGGAAAUUAAAGGAAUUGCCCCAUUAUGAGAGGAAUUAAGGUCAUAAGUGAAACAUUUCAGUUGGGAAAUUAAAGGAAUUAUAAUGCAAUCUCAUCCGUCCAAAUGAUGAAGGGUAUGAUCGACAAAAGCCAACCAAUGCUCCUCUAUAUAUAGACAACGUCCAGAACAGAAUUGGCAUCACUUCCUGGCCAAAAACUAUUCCAAGACUCUGCCCAAUUCACUCCUCAAACCUCCUUCACCUACAAGACCGUGAUCACCAUCCAUCUAUCAAUCUACGAAGCUCUUAGGCGCUACGUUAAGGACGCUCCACCACCAUAGCAGAGACAAGUUCAUCACCUUGUUGCCAAUCCGUUGUGGAAAAUGCUUCAAAGUGUAACUAUGACUCUACUUACAAUUUUGUUUCGGUUUUGUGUGUGAAGACUUGUGAAUUAUCUUGGGAUUUGCGAUUUGUGUAAUUGGA
rnacentral:lncRNA from 1 species